GCCUGUCGCGGGCUCCAGGACAACUGGGCCGCCAGCCGGAAGCUCAGGACCAACCGGACCAUCGUCGGAGGUGUCCGGGACCGCCAGACCAUCGUCUGGAGCGACUGAGACACCUGGACCAUCACCCGGAGGAUCCGGAACCACUGGAGCGGCAGCUGGCCGAGGGGCGACAACAGGGCCGGGGGCCGGGGUAUCGGCGACCACAGGGCCAGCAGCUGAGGGAUCAGGAAGCACCGCUGCGCCUGUCGCGGGCUCCAGGACAACUGGGCCGCCAGCCGGAAGGUCAGGAACAAGUGGGCCAACGGCUGGGGUCACAGGGGCAACCGGACCAGCCACGGCCGCGUCGCCGACCGCAGGACCACCCGCUGAAGGGUCAGUGACAACGGGACCGGCAGCUGGAGGGUCA
rnacentral:lncRNA from 1 species